rnacentral:ncRNA from 1 species
AUAAAUGCUAUGAUGAGGGCAAGUACUUAGGGAAUUUACUAUUCAGAGAGUAACUGUUAGGUGUGAAGUUACAGUAAUACUUAAGGAAAAUCACCUAGGAGCUAGAGGCUGAAAAGUUAUUCUGAAUAAGCUGUCUCGUUAGCCUGCGUUAAAGGAUAGAGUAUGAUAGUACUUGAUUUAAAAUCCCAGGGAUUUUUAUCCUUUUUAAAUUAUAGGGAUUUACCAUAGGUGGUAUAGCGAAUAUAACUUCGUCCUAAUG